GAUGAACGCUAGCGACAGGCUUAACACAUGCAAGUCGUGGGGCAGCGGGGGUGAAGGCUUGCCUUCACCUGCCGGCGACCGGCGCACGGGUGAGUAACACGUAUGCAACCUGGCCGUGACAGGAGGAUAACCGGUAGAAAUGCCGCCUAAUACUCCAUAAUACUUUGCGGGGACAUCCCCGUGAGGUCAAAGGAAGCGAUUCCGGUCACGGAUGGGCAUGCGGCGCAUUAGCUAGUCGGCGGGGUAACGGCCCACCGAGGCGACGAUGUCUAGGGGUUCUGAGAGGAAGGUCCCCCACACUGGAACUGAGACACGGUCCAGACUCCUACGGGAGGCAGCAGUGAGGAAUAUUGGUCAAUGGUCUGACGACUGAACCAGCCAUGCCGCGUGAAGGUGACGGCCCUAUGGGUCUUAAAACUUCUUUUGCAAGGGAGCAAUAAGGCGUACGUGUACGUCGAUGAGAGUACCUUGCGAAUAAGCAUCGGCUAAACUCCGUGCCAG
rnacentral:rRNA from 1 species